UUUAUCCAAAUUUGUUUCAUGAGUCUUGGCAUCCCUUCUAAAGCCAUGAACUUGUAUCAAUUCUUUUGAAUCACCCAUCUCAGGCAGGGAAAUUAGAUUUUUGGUGUCCAUGGGACUAUUCUCAUCAUUUGAAGGGCAUUCAACUUUGCUAUUAGCUUCCUGCAAUGCUUUCAAUCUCCUUACCAGAUAAGAGACUUUACUGCUAGAUGUUGACUGCCAAUCCGGAUCCCACAUGCCUGUUUAUACGAGGGUUGUAGCUCAAUAAGAUCCUUGGGAACAGGCCACUUAGGAUUUGGAUUUUCUGGCCGAGUGAGUGUAUCAGGAGUUUCCAUCUCAUAUAAGUUGCCACAGCCAGGGUAAGUACACCUCUGACUGUCCAAACCAACACAGU
rnacentral:lncRNA from 1 species